GGUGUGACAGAGGUGCAAAAAUUUGUCAGGCUGAAAAGUUUAGGAAGGGUGCUUGUGAAAAGAGUAUGAAUUAGAUGGAAUUGAUUGGACAAAAGUAGAUUUUGAAGACAACCAAGAGUGUUUGGAUCUCUUUGAGAAGAAACCUAUAGGGCUAAUAUCUUU